GUGCCAGCCGCCGCGGUAAUACCGGCAGCUCAAGUGAUGUCCCAUAUUAUUGGGCCUAAAGCGUCCGUAGCUGGCCGACCAAGUCUAUCGGGAAAUCCACCUGCCCAACAGGUGGGCGUCCGGCGGAAACUGUGUGGCUUGGAACCGGAAGGCUCAGAGGGUACGUCCGGGGUAGGAGUGAAAUCCUGUAAUCCUGGACGGACCGCCGGUGGCGAAAGCGCCUCGGGAAGACGGACCCGACAGUGAGGGACGAAAGCCAGGGUCUCGAACCGGAUUAGAUACCCCAGUAGUCC
rnacentral:rRNA from 1 species